GACAGAGGGUGCAAACGUUGUUCGGAUUUACUGGGCGUAAAGCGCGUGUAGGCGGUUGCCCAAGUCGGGGGUGAAAGCCUUGAGCUCAACUCAAGAAAUGCACUCGGUACUGGGUGACUAGAGGACCGGAGAGGAUAGUGGAAUUCCCAGUGUAGUGGUGAAAUACGUAGAGAUUGGGAAGAACACCAGUGGCGAAGGCGGCUAUCUGGACGGUUUCUGACGCUAAGACGCGAAAGCGUGGGGAGCAAACAGG
rnacentral:rRNA from 1 species